rnacentral:rRNA from 1 species
GAUGAACGCUGGCGGCGUGCCUAAUACAUGCAAGUCGAGCGGAAGGACGAGAAGCUUGCUUCGUUGAUGUUAGCGGAGGACGGGUGAGAAACACGUGGAUAACCUACCUAUAAGAGUGGGAUAACUUCGGGAAACCGGAGCUAAUACCGGAGGAUCUUUUGCACCGCAUGGUUCAAAAGAGAAAUACGGUGUUGGUGUCACGUAUAGCUGGAUACCGGCUGCAUUAGCUAGUUGGUAAGGUAACGGCUUAGCAAGGCAACGAGGCAUAUCCGACCUGAGAGGCUGGUCGGCCACACUGGAGCUGGGACACGGUCCAUACGCCUACGAGACGCACCAGUAUGCAACCUUCCGCAGUGGUCGAGAGCCUUACGGAGUGACGCCGCGUCAGUGAUGGCGGUCUUGGGUUCGUGAUACCGUGUUUUUAGUUAAGAACAUAUUUCUAAGGUGCUGUGCCCAUCUUGACGGUACCUGGUCAGAAAGCCACGGCUAACUACGUG